AUUGAACGCUGGCGGCAGGCCUAACACAUGCAAGUCGAGCGGAUCGGCGGACGGGUGAGGAAUGCCUAGGAAUCUGCCUCGUCGUGGGGGAUAACGUCCGGAAACGGGCGCUAAUACCACAUACUAUCAGAUGAGCCUAGGCCGGAUUAGCUAGUUGGUGGGGUAAAGGCCUACCAAGGCGACGAUCCGUAACUGGUCUGAGAGGAUGAUCAGUCACACUGGAACUGAGACACGGUCCCGACUCCUACGGUAGGCAGCAGUGGGGAAUAUUGGACAAUGGGCGAAAGCCUGCUCCAGCCAUGCCGCGUGUGUGAAGAAGGUCUUCGGAUUGUAAAGCACUUUAAGUUGGGAGGCGUUACCAACAGAAUAAGCACCGGCUAACUUCGUGCCAGCCGCCGCGGUAAUAC
rnacentral:rRNA from 1 species